ACUAUAAAAAGAAAAAAGAAAAGCAAAUCAACUAAUUUUUCUCUAUGUAAAUAUGGUAUAAGUACAUAGAUCAGCAGAUUAUGGAGGUUUUAGAUUGCUUUCGAAGAUCGUAUACUUAUUACUCGCGGAACGAACGAACAAAUUAGUUAUAGAUAUUUCCUCCUGCCCUUAUGAACAUUUUGUAUUUUUGUGUUGCGGAAUAGACGUUCGACUAAAGCUUGUCUUCUUAUUCAUUGGUUUAACGAUAUUAGGAUAAGAAAAUCCAUUUUCGGCAUGUGCUAAUCAAGUGUAACCCUCUCGGCCAUACCGUUACCAUAGGGUGGGGUGUGCUUUCGUCACUAGAGUAAUAAUUGUACCUGUUCUGCUAUGUUUACGUUUUUCAAUGGAAACCAGUAAAAGGCGUAAAGCAAGCCACAAUUAAGAAUCUUUCCAUACAGUGGGAUAUUGCUGUUGCUUUACAAAUCGAUUAAGAUUGGAUAAAUUCGAGGGCACAUGCUAAGUUUUUAUUCAACAAUCUCGUGAAGUCGAGAUAUGAUAAUUAAUUAAUAAUACACAGACGCAGUAAGAACUCUGAAGUCGAUAUGCUCGACUGGAGAACUAUCCAGCCCCUUUCUUUUGUGAAAAAAACUUCCAAUUUUAACUACCUACAUUUGAUAGCACAAAUUACCUAUAAACUUUAGAGCUACGCGUGGCACGAUCCUCUCAUACAAAAUGACAAUGCAUUGACCCCUGCCGAGGCACGCACUGGCUCCCGUCCAAGCAGCUCUUUUGGUCUCGUCUCUAAUUGAAUUUAAUUGGAUCUGCAAUAACAAUAUCUGCGCUCAAACCUCAGCGACAAAGAGACCACACACACCAGACACUGCAUGUGUAAGAUCUGCAUUGUCGGGCGAUCCUGAGGUCGAUCUUGAGAUCGAGAGCUUCAGUCUAUUUUUGGAACUGGAACAAUUCAAAUUAAAUCAAACAUAGGAAGAGGCAAAUCGAUACCCACGGCAGCUAGCAACGUUUUAACAUUUUUCGAUCGAACACAAAAGUACUAGAACUUCUGUAGUUGGAGUUUAAACAACAGAUUAACAAUUCGAGACUUUCAACAAUCAAUUGAUAAUGAAAAGAAAACAAGAACAAGCGCGGGGCUUCGUUUGAUUUGUUUUUGUUUUUUGGCACAAUCUUGACUUAUAAUUGUAAUUUAUGAAGCGGGAGGCUCAAGUCAAGUCAAGUAAAUAAUAUUAUCGCAAAUUACGCCAAAGGAGAUAGCAAUUAAAGAGGUCGGUCGGUUGCAUUGUCAACAAAGAUAGAAAGAAACUUAAUUAUGGGUAAUCUAGGUUUAAUUUAGCUGAAAUUCCAGAGGUUAUUCUGUUUUUAGAUCAAAAGAUAGGGUAUCAUAAGGGUCUUAGUCAUGCAUCAUGCUCUGAUUGCCAUCUUUUCGUGAAUGCCGAAAUGUCUCCUUUUUAUUUUGCUUGCCUAUUGAUUUUCUCUUACCCCCCCAACACACACACGCACACAUAGCACGAGCACGAACGCACACAAACUCGGCGCACCUACACUAAUAAAAUAGUAUGUGGAUCUUAAAGCUCCCUCACACUCACGCUCUGCUCUGAGGUUUUCUUAGGAAAAUCUUAGGAAAGGAAACCGUUUAAACAGCCAUCCAUCCCCGGACACGACCAUCGUACAUGCCAUGUAUUAAAUAAAUUACAACUUUUAUGCCGAAGAAAACAUCAAUGUGACAUUCACUUGCACUUUUUAGCACGCAUUACCUCUGUGUGGGUGCACACGGUGAAUAAACAAUUUGUAUUGGCAAUUGAUUUGAUUGUCGGUCCAGCUGGAUGAUUAGCAACUAAAUAAAUGAGAUACAGUGAACACAUACCUUGAGCUAUCUGCCUCACAAGCUCAAAUUGUACGCGUUUGGCCCAAUGUUCUUACUUUUGCGUAUUGCACUUAUUAUCAACACACACACUAAAGCACAACAUUUUUACAAUAAAUUGCCAUUUAUUUUUGUACCAACACAUAAACCACAACACAGGUCCUGGUUAAACGCGCUUCAUGGUAAGAAAAAUGCCAUCGUUGCGUUUCCGCUGCACUGUUGUUGACUCAUUAGCUUUUAUUUCAUGCGGAGUACCAGAAUAAACGGAUAAAA